UGUUGUGUGACUGUGAUCUGUGAUUACGACCUAUGAAGUCUAUCAAUGGUCUGUCAGUGUGCGUUCAACACAAACACAAGUAUUUUUUCCAAACCGAGCAAUUGGGGCAAAGAGGCCCUAGAAAGGGUUGAGUAGUUAAAGUUAAGCCAAAACAUGGCCCAGCAAUAUGGUGUUGAUCCCCAGACGCAGCGUGUGGCCAUUGAGAAGUUGCAAAGAAAAAUUCAGUUGCGUAACGAGUUCUUGAAACAGUCUACCGAUCCAUUUCAGCACUCAGCUGGAGAAGGUGGUGCUGUGUUUGAUCCAGCGUUUACGCGAUAUCAAGCCCUUGGGGUCAGCCGCUAUGAAUACUUUAAACCCAGCGGUAAAAACGUUGUCCAGGGCCUCCUCUUUUUUGUGGCCCCCAUGGUUAUUAUGGGUACCCUAGUAUACCGGUCUAGAUCGAAAGCGGAGGCUUCUUAUCGAGCAGGAGAAGUGGCCUAUAAGGACCGUCGCUUCAGAUUCUCCUGAAGACUUUGCGUUGUUGUAGAUAAAGCAUUAAUAGAAUAUUAAGUAUU
rnacentral:lncRNA from 1 species